GAUUCGGCGAGAUGGACGUCUCGUGUGUUACAGCUCGAGUAUUCGAGACAAUCGAAGAUCGGAAAACAAUCAGCGGACGAUAGCCCUGAUGAUUCAGGAAACGUCCGCCCCGAAGCAACUUUUUCGCCGUUUUCGCCACAGCCGCCAUUCCCCUGUCCCGUCUAUUUUCAGGAGUUUAUCGAAGCAAGACAUCUCGCAAUGCUCAGAAAUAUAUGACAACCUACACCGAGCGACAUGCAUAAUCGACCUUGUGCAGUAAAACUGUAAAAGGAACAUUUCAAGUGUAUAAAAUCAGGUAGACACUGGCGUUUAAUCCGGGAUGGGUCGGAUGGAAUGGCGAGUGAUCAAUCUAGGCGUGUUCAACACGCGACGCGACAUUGCCAAUCAGGCAUUGAAGUCUCCUCUUUUCUCGCGACGUCGCGACGCGCGACCAGUAACGGUGGCUGAUGUACGACAACAAACGGUGCGCGUGAGGGAAGGAGAACGAGUUUUAGCCGACUUGGAAAAGCGGUGGAAGCGAGAUGGAGCGCUUCCUCCUCUUGAUAGCGAGUCGAUUCGAACCGGUCGCACCGCCAUUUUCUCCAAGUUUUUGCCGGCGCGGUCAACGGUUCGCACGGCACGAACUCGCGGCCAACCAGGUCACUCCUCAUUCUUCUCAAGUUUGUCGUAAGCCCAGCCGGUGACGUCGCAACGACGCGACGAAGAAAUGUUACAACGCAAGUUUCAACUGGCCGAACGUUCCGGUAUGCGACUUGAUGCACCGCGGCGGGAAUUCACCCGAGUGUUCCAUGGCGAUAGGAAUUCGUUAAUCAAACGAGGUGACCAGACCAUUCGAUUAACGGACAACUUAUAUUAUUAGCUCGCGAAGAAAGGCGGCGAAAUACUACACAGAAACGACGAUUAUCAUCGUUUGUUUGCGCUUAUCAAAUAAUAUUUUGCGUAAAAUGUGACUGCAGCAAAAUCAAAUGCCUAUAUCUAUAGAAAUGCCUGUCUAAAAAUAAAACAUCCGUCCCCCACCCCCCACCC